GACGAACGCUGGCGGCGUGCCUAAUACAUGCAAGUUGAGCGCUGAAGGCUGGUACUUGUACCAACUGGAUGAGCAGCGAACGGGUGAGUAACGCGUGGGGAAUCUGCCUUUGAGCGGGGGACAACAUUUGGAAACGAAUGCUAAUACCGCAUAAAAACUUUAAACACAAGUUUUAAGUGUGAAAGAUGCAAUUGCAUCACUCAAAGAUGAUCCCGCGUUGUAUUAGCUAGUUGGUGAGGUAAAGGCUCACCAAGGCGAUGAUACAUAGCAGACCUGAGAGGGUGCUAGGCCACAUUGGGACUGAGACACGGCCCAAACUCCUACGGGAGGCAGCAGUAGGGAAUCUUCGGCAAUGGACGAAAGUCGGACCGAGCAACGCCGCGUGAGUGAAGAAGGUUUUCGGAUCGUAAAACUCUGUUGGUAGAGAAGAACGUUGGUGAGAGUGGAAAGCUCAUCAAGUGACGGUAACUACCCAGAAAGGGACGGCUAACUACGUG
rnacentral:rRNA from 1 species